CAUGCAAGUCUGUGAAUAUGUUUAUAGAAACAGUGUACGGCUCAGUAUAACAUGUCUAUCUACCCAUUUAUAUAUAAUAACCGUGGUAAACUAUGGCUAAUAUAAUGGAUGAGGAUGUGACCUAUCAGCUUGUCGGUACGGUAAGUGCGUACCGAGGCUAUAACGGGUAACGGGGAAUAUGGGUUUUAUUCCGGAGAGGGAGCCUGAGAGAUGGCUGCCACGUCCAAGGACGGCAGCAGGCGCGAAACUUACCCAAUGAACAUUGAGGUAGUUACGAGGCGUAUAGGGUUGUUUUGUAUUCGGGAUGUGUAAGUAGCAUCCCCAAAGACUGGAGGGCAAGUCUGGUGCCAGCAGCCGCGGUAAUACCAGCUCCAGUAGCGUCUGUGUUUAUUGCUGCGGUUAAAAUGUGCGUAGUCUGGUAAUAUGGCUUGAGUUUAAUAUACAUUUUCAUAGUGUAAAGACUCUCAGGAACUUAUACCUUGAGACAGGGAAGAGGUGAUGUUAUUUGGUAGCGAGAGGUGAAAAUCGAUGACCUACUGAGGAGCGACAGAGGCGAAAGCGAUCACCAAGAACUGUUCUGACGAUCAAGCGCGUGAGCAGGAGUAUCGAAGAGGAUUAGAGACCCACGUAGUUCCUAGCAGUCAACAAUGCCAACACUGUGGUGCUACUUUGCAUUGCGGAAGCGAAAGCUAGUGUAUGGGCUCCGGGGAUAGUACGGACGCAAGUUUGAAACUUGAAGAAAUUGACGGAAGGACACCACAAGGAGUGGAGUGUGCGGGUUAAUUUGACUCAACGCGGGAAAACUUACCCGGGCAGGCAGUUAUCGUGAGAAGUUAUUUUAAGUGUAACUGAUGAUACUGCGCGUGGUGCAUGGCCGUUCUUAACACGUGGAGUGAUCUGUCUGGUCAAAUCUGAUAACGCGUGAGAGGUGAGUGUUUAUGCAUUAGCAUGAGCAGACGAUGUAUGUAAGUACAAGGAAGUAGCACCCGAUAACAGGUCUGUGAUGCCCGUAGAUGUCCGGGGCUCCACGCGCACUACAAUGGAUGGUAGUAUUAUAGUAGUGUGUAACCAAUUCGUAGUUGGGAUUGACAUAUGUAAUUAUGUCAUGAACUUGGAAUUCCUAGUAGUUGGUUGUCAUUAACGACUGACGAAUGCGUCCCUGUUCUUUGUACACACCGCCCGUCGUUAUCUAAGAUGGAAGUGCGGGUGAAGAUGUGAGUAUAAACCAUUAGGGUAAUGAUGCAUAUUGGUGUAUCUGUGUGAGUGUAAUGUUAUGUUAUGCUUGUAGGGAAUAUAUUAGUAUGAAUCUGACUGAUGUUAGGUAUAAGCAUAAGA
rnacentral:rRNA from 1 species